UACGAAGGGGGCUAGCGUUGUUCGGAUUUACUGGGCGUAAAGCGCACGUAGGCGGAUCGAUCAGUCAGGGGUGAAAUCCCAGAGCUCAACUCUGGAACUGCCUUUGAUACUGUCGAUCUGGAGUAUGGAAGAGGGAAGCGGAAUUCCCGGUGUAGUGGUGAAAUGCGUAGAUAUCGGAGGAACACCAGUGGCGAAGGCGGCUUUCUGGUCUGCUCUUGACGCUGAGGCGCGAAAGCUAGGGUAGCAAACGGG
rnacentral:rRNA from 1 species